rnacentral:rRNA from 1 species
CAAGUCGAACGCGAAAGUCCCGCAAGGGAUAAGUAGAGUGGCAAACGGGUGAGUAACGCGUGGGUGACCUGCCUUCGAGCGGGGGAUAACGUUCCGAAAGGGACGCUAAUACCGCAUAACAUCCUGCCUUUGAACAGGUGGAGAUCAAAGCUGGGGAUUCGCAAGAACCCGGCACUUGAAGAGGGGCCCGCGUCUGAUUAGCUAGUUGGUGAGGUAACGGCUCACCAAGGCAACGAUCAGUAUCCGGCCUGAGAGGGCGGACGGACACACUGGGACUGAGACACGGCCCAGACUCCUACGGGAGGCAGCAGUGGGGAAUUGUUCGCAAUGGGCGCAAGCCUGACGACGCAACGCCGCGUGGAGGAUGAAGAUUUUCGGAUCGUAAACUCCUGUCGAAUGGGACGAACAGGUUGCGGGUUAAUACACCGCAGCCCUGACGGUACCGUUAAAGGAAACCCCGGCUAACUCCGUGCCAGCAGCCGCGGUAAUACGGGGGGGGUAAGCGUUGUUCGGAAUUACUGGGCGUAAAGGGCUCGUAGGCGGCCAACUAAGUCAGACGUGAAAUCCCUCAGCUUAACUGGGGAACUGCGUCUGAUACUGGAUGGCUUGGAUUCGGGAGAGGAAUGCGGAAUUCCAGGUGUAGCGGUGAAAUGCGUAGAUAUCUGGAGGAACACCGGUGGCGAAGGCGGCAUUCUGGACCGACAUUGACGCUGAGGAGCGAAAGCCAGGGGAGCAAACGGGAUUAGAUACCCCGGUAGUCCUGGCCCUAAACGAUGAA